UACGUAGGGUGCAAGCGUUAAUCGGAAUUACUGGGCGUAAAGCGUGCGCAGGCGGUUUUGUAAGUCUGUCGUGAAAUCCCCGGGCUCAACCUGGGAAUUGCGAUGGAGACUGCAAGGCUAGAAUCUGGCAGAGGGGGGUAGAAUUCCACGUGUAGCAGUGAAAUGCGUAGAGAUGUGGAGGAACACCGAUGGCGAAGGCAGCCCCCUGGCGCGCAACUGACGCUCAGACACGACAGCAUGGGGAGCGAACGGG
rnacentral:rRNA from 1 species